AUUGAACGCUGGCGGCAGGCCUAACACAUGCAAGUCGAGCGGAGCGGCGGACGGGUGAGUAAUGCCUAGGAAUCUGCCUGGUAGUGGGGGAGAACGACCGGAGACGGGCGCUAAUACUGCAUACUAUCAGAGGAUCCGAGGUCGGCUUAGCAAGUGGGUGGGGUAAAGGCCUACCAAGUAGACGAUCCGUAAUUGGUCUGAGAGGAUGAUCAGUCACACGGGAACUGAGACACUGUCCAGACUCCUACGGGAGGCAGCAGUGGGGAAUAUGGGACAAUGGGCGGAAGGCUAAUCCAGCCAUGCGGCGUGUGUGAAGAGGGGCUUCGGAUUGUAAAGCACUUUAAGUUUGGAGGCGUUACCAACAGAAUAAGCACCGGCUAACUUCGUGCCAGCAGCCGCGGUAAUUC
rnacentral:rRNA from 1 species